GGCGGGCGGGCGUCCGGCGGGAGCUCUGAGGGGGCGCUGGUCUCCCUGGACCGCAGGCCGGGAUCGAGCCGCAUUUCUGAGGCGAAAGGGCUGUCCCCGCGCCUCGACGCCCCCGACCGCGGGGCGCGGCGCCGCCUCCGCGUCAGACCUUUCUUCCCGCCCCAGCCUCGGUGGUUCCCGCCAACGGGCGGGGCGGAGGGCCCCGGAAGCCGGCACAACGAGCACUUCCGGGUCGGGGAGCGCGCGGCGGCGGCGGCGGCGGCGGCGGCGGCCGAGUGGCGACCGGGCCUAGUCGCGCCUCUCGCUCGGGCGGCGGCGGCCAGCGCUGGAGCGGCCGCGACUUGCGAGGUUCCUGGAGCUGGACUCCAAUGUACAGCGAUGGAUGACGACUCCCUGGAUGAGCUCGCGACCCGGAGCCCAGGGCCAGACGGAUGCCCGCCGGCCAGCGACACUGAAGGCAGCGGUGGCAGCAGCGAGGGCUCCGAGGACGACACAGGCAGCGAGCACGGGGACAGCAGUGGCAGAGAGGAUGAGGCAGGGGCCUCUGAGGAGGAAGAGGACGAAGACCUGGGAGACAGAUACGGUUCCGAAGACUCCGAGGAAGAUGCGGAAGCCGUAGUGGCUGUAGUGGAUGCUCAGGGGAAGUUGGAAGCCAGCGGCGCGUUCAAUUCAGACGAUGACGCGGAGAGUUGCCCGAUUUGUCUCAAUGUGUUCAGAGACCAGGCUGUGGGGACGCCAGAGAACUGUGCCCAUUACUUCUGCCUGGACUGCAUCGUCGAGUGGUCCAAGGUAAGAUGGCCCCCACGGUGGUUCUCGGCCUCCAGGGAGCCGUGGGCGUCCAGGGCCACCCUGUGCCGCAGGCUGUCAGGUGAGUGUGGUGUGUCGGGUGACGAGGCACAGGAGCACACGGAGAAGGCACCGCUCUGUGCCGGCCGCGGCGGCCAUCGGAGGGUGAACCAACGGCAAAGGAAGACCUUUCUCUCUGUCACU